AUUGAACGCUGGCGGCAGGCCUAACACAUGCAAGUCGAGCGGAUGAAGGGAGCUUGCUCCUGGAUUCAGCGGCGGACGGGUGAGUAAUGCCUAGGAAUCUGCCUGGUAGUGGGGGAUAACGUCCGGAAACGGGCGCUAAUACCGCAUACGUCCUGAGGGAGAAAGUGGGGGAUCUUCGGACCUCACGCUAUCAGAUGAGCCUAGGUCGGAUUAGCUAGUUGGUGGGGUAAAGGCCUACCAAGGCGACGAUCCGUAACUGGUCUGAGAGGAUGAUCAGUCACACUGGAACGGAGACACGGUCCAGACUACUACGGGAGGCAGCAGUGGGGAAUAUUGGACAAUGGGCGAAAGCCUGAUCCAGCCAUGCCGAGUGUGUGAAGAAGGUCUUCGGAUUGUAAAGCACUUUAAGUUGGGAGGAAGGGCAGUAAGUUAAUACCUUGCUGUUUUGACGUUACCAACAGAAUAAGCACCGGCUAACUUCGUG
rnacentral:rRNA from 1 species